rnacentral:lncRNA from 1 species
UAUUACUGUAGACCUAAAAGGGGGAAAAAAAUAAAUAGCGGCGACUCGAUAAAAGUUAUUAGAUGAAAAAAUAGGUGUUAGGAAACAUUCUAUGAAUUUUACUGUUAAUUCAAAAUUUUAGCAGAAGAGGUAAAAAUUUUCUAAAUGAAACCAGAAGAUUGGUUAAAUAAUUUGUGGCAUCACUGACGACAAAGUACGACAAAAGCUGUUAGAGAAGACUCUACAGAUGAAUUGGAAAGAUACUCUCAAUUUAUUUAGAACAGUAGAAAUGGCAAAUAGUCUAAAUGAUUUAGUAUCAAAGGAUGUCAACGGAAAUAAAAAGUCCAGCGGAUUCAAUAAAAAUGAAAGAAGAAGUCAAAGUCGUGAGAGAUCGUGGAACAAGAGACAAGAUGAUUGUGUAGAAAGUGUGGUUUUCAAUUUCCUCAUAAGAAUGGACAACUUUCGCCUACAAAAAAUGCUGAAUGCACAAGAUUUGCUCUAUUCAAAAAUAUGAAUUGAAUAAACUACUCAUCGAUGUAUUGAAUGUCCAUGCAAAUUACUUCCAAAAUGGAAUAGCUGCUUCUGACAUUGGUGCAAUGAUAUCAGUAGCUGGAUCGAGAGUAUUAUAGGAUAUAAAUAUGGGAUGUCGAACAUCAAGGCUUGAAUCUAAAACCAUCGGGGCGAAUGGAUCUAAAUUAAAAUACCAGAAGCUAUUGAUUUGAAAUUGAAAUUGGGAAACUGUAUUUAUAAAUAAAUAGUUUAUGUUGUCAAGCAUAUCCCUCAGAACGAGUUAUUCAUCGCACAAAACGCUUUUUAUGAAAGUUGGAAAUUUUACACCCUAAUUUCCAUUGUCCAUUAAAAGAAGAAUGAAUUGAUCAAUAUUUGUUAACUGUACAAAAUGU